rnacentral:lncRNA from 1 species
AAAGCCUUUUCAUCUAAAAAAAAUAUAUAGAAUUGUUUUAUAGUUAUAUUUUUAAUUUUAUUAAUGUUCUCUUUUACUGUCAAGUUUCUUGUGAGGAAUCUGUCAGAACGCAUCUGAGAAGCUGAAUUUACAGGUGCUAGGAACCAAAGCUGUUAGCGAAAGUACUGAGAUGGGGCUUUGGAGAACUGACCCUCGGAAUGACACUCAGGAGGCAGGCAUGUGUCUGAGGAGCUUGGUCGAGUUCGUGGUUUGGUGAGUGAGAGUCGUGAUCUGAAGAGCCAUGGUUUGAACGUGGAGAUCGUGGGAGGAAGGAGCAAGGGUUUCUCAAUGGAUUCCAGGAGUACUGCAGUUACGUUUCUCGGAUUCUCCCUUCGGACUACAUGCGCACAUCGGUUACUCUUGCCUGUCUCCUCGACCAUGUCUUCCGGAUUGCCCCUUGAGCAAGCUUCCUCUGCUCCGCGCUUGGGUUCGACGCACCCGCCUCGGGGAAAGAUCGUGACAGUAUGUACAGGUGGUCCCCAAUUUUUGAUGGCAAGUUCCAUGAAACCCAUCAUAAGUGGAAAAUAUCAUAAUUUGAAAAUGCAUUUAAUAAACACCUCUGCAUGACAGACUGGAAAAUGUGGAUUGCUGUCACUGCCCAGCAUCGUGAGAGAGUAUUGCUCCACAUAUCACUUGCCCGGGGAAAAAUAAGAAUUCAAAGAACAUUUUCUACUGAAUGUUUAUCACCAGCUCACCAUUGUACAUUACAUUUAUUUAUCUGACACUUUUCUCCAAAGCAACUUACAGUGUUAAGGUUACAAUUAUUUACCUAUUUAUACAGCUGGGUAAUUUUACUGGAGCAACUUAGGACAAGUACUUUGCUCAAGGGCACUACAAGCAGAGGUGGGGAUUGAACCUGCAACCUUUGGAACUGCUACCCUACUGGCUAGUAAGUGAAGGCCAGUAAAGUUGAAAAAAAUAGUAACUUGAACCAUUGCAAAUCGGGAACAUCCUGUAUUAUUAAUUACCAUGUGUCAUACCAUUCUACAUGAAAGUGUUUGUUCAUUUAUUAAGCAGAAAAGCAGCUCUAACUCAGAGCAAUGGCAUUAAUAUAAAGGUGUCUUCAUCAAGAGGAGCCAUGAGUUGAUGUGCUGCAAUUUUCUCAGGUAAAGAAGACAGAAUCCAGC